rnacentral:rRNA from 1 species
CAGCCGCCACGGGAAUACGUAGGGUGCGAGCGCUAAUCGGAAUUACUGGGCGUAAAGCGUGCGCAGGCGGUUUUGUAAGACAGGCGUGAAAUCCCCGGGCUCAACCUGGGCAUGGCGCUUGUGACUGCAAAGCUAGAGUGCGGCAGAGGGGGAUGGAAUUCCGCGUGUAGCAGUGAAAUGCGUAGAUGUGCGGAGGAACACCGAUGGCGAAGGCAAUCCCCUGGGCCUGCACUGACGCUCAUGCACGAAAGCGUGGGGAGCAAACAGGAUUAGAUACCCCCGUAGUCCCUGUCUCUUAUAC